CCUACGGGAGGCAGCAGUGGGGAAUAUUGGGCAAUGGGCGCAAGCCUGACCCCGCAACGCCGCGUGAAGGAUGAAGGCUUUCGGGUUGUAAACUUCUUUUGUCAGGGAAGAGUAGAAGACGGUACCUGACGAAUAAGCCACGGCUAACUACGUGCCAGCAGCCGCGGUAAUACGUAGGUGGCCAGCGUUGUCCGGAUUUACUGGGUGUAAAGGGCGUGUAGCCGGGUUGACAAGUCAGAUGUGAAAUCCUGCGGCUUAACCGCAGAACUGCAUUUGACACUGUUGAUCUUGAGUACUGGAGAGGCAGACGGAAUUCCUAGUGUAGCGGUGAAAUGCGUAGAUAUUAGGAGGAACACCAGUGGCGAAGGCGGUCUGCUGGACAGCAACUGACGGUGAGGCGCGAAAGCGUGGGGAGCAAACAGGAUUAGAUACCCCUGUAGUC
rnacentral:rRNA from 1 species